GACGGAGGGUGCGAGCGUUAUUCGGAAUCAUUGGGCGUAAAGAGUGUGUAGGCGGCCGGUUAAGUCAGGCGUGAAAGCCCAGGGCUCAACCCUGGAAGUGCGUUUGAAACUGGCUGGCUUGAGUUCGGGAGAGGGAAGCGGAAUUCCUGGUGUAGAGGUGAAAUUCGUAGAUAUCAGGAGGAACAUCGGUGGCGAAGGCGGCUUCCUGGACCGAAACUGACGCUGAGACACGAAAGUGUGGGGAGCAAACAGG
rnacentral:rRNA from 1 species